rnacentral:rRNA from 1 species
CCCUUAGAUGUUCUGGGCUGCACGCGCGCUACACUGAUGCGUUCAACGAGUUUAUGACCUUGCCCGAUAGGGUUGGGUAAUCUUUUUAAAUCGCAUCGUGAUGGGGAUAGAUUAUUGCAAUUAUUAAUCUUCAACGAGGAAUUCCUAGUAAGCGCGAGUCAUCAGCUCGUGCUGAUUACGUCCCUGCCCUUUGUACACACCGCCCGUCGCUCCUACCGAUUGAGUGGUCCGGUGAAUAAUUCGGACUGCAGCAGUGUUCAGUUCCUGAACGUUGCAGCGGAAAGUUUAGUGAACCUUAUCACUUAGAGGAAGGAGAAGUCGUANCA